rnacentral:lncRNA from 1 species
UCAAACACAGGUGAGCGAUGAAGCACGUUGAGAUCAUUGUUGGUACCAGGCAUUCCAAAGAAGGCAUGCCAAAUCCACAAAUCGUACCCAGCGACUGCCUCUAGUAUCAUUGUUGGCCUCGAAUUUCGCCCACAAAACUGUCCGCGCCAUGCAGUAGGACAGUUGCGCCAUUCCCAAUGCAUACAAUCGAUAGAGCCUAGCAUACCAGGAAACCCCCUGUCGGCGUUUACACGUAGUAUGCGAGCAAUGUCGUCGUGGUUAGGGAUACGAAGGUAUCGUUCGCUAAAGGAAGAUAUGAUUGCGCGACAAAAACGGAUAAGGCAGUCCCUAGCGGUAGUCUGUCCAAUCUGUAUGUACUCAUCUACCGCAUCGGUUGGUAACCCGUACGCAAGGAUACGCAAUGCAGCACAUACUUUUUGCAAUGGACCAAGCCCUGCUAAACCUGUUGCAUCACAACGAAUAGUAAAGUAUUCGUCUUCUCGCUGAACGGCACGAAGGAUACGUAGGAACAAAGGACGAUGCAUCCGAAACCUAUAAACGAAAAUAAAGCAUAAAAUUAACAAAAGAAACCUACAAAUGAAAGUAAAAUCAUAACUUAGGAAAUGUACCUUCGACGAAAAACAUGUGAUGGAUACACAGGAUUAGGUCCGAAGUAGUGAUGUUUGAUGAGAUUUUCUCCAGCAGUGUGGUCCCUAUGGAUAACUCGGCGAGGCAAUGAGGAGCGGCUACGGCGUGUGCUCGUGUCUCCUUGUACAAGGUGGUCAACAUGUUGGGCAAGCAACAAGGUAUCAAUCUCAUCGUCGGAAUCGUCGGAUGACGAGGACAACACAAGGCUUUUCAAUGACUCCAUGACGACCUAAACUACGAGUGCGUAGUACGGUCUUCUUAUGGUAUGGCGGAUGAUAUAGAAGAGAGUGAGUGUUUAGAUGAGUGGAGCAUUUCCCCAGGGUACCAUAUUUAUAGGUGCCUUUGGUGUGUGAAGGAAGCCAGGCGAUCGUGGCUUCUAGUACAAGCCAGUCGUGUCGUGCAAGCCACUCGUGUCGUGUACUAGAAGAAUGAGAAUUUUGAAUUUGUAAAAAUACAUCAAUUUGUACCGUAUUUGUACUAAUGUAGUAAUAGUAAUUAUGAAGUUUGCUAAUUACAUGUGGACCAAAAUUCGCCCGUGUACUAUACAAAUAAUAAAUAAACAUAAAUUUAAUAUUUGAUGGUAGUUGAGUUAGUUGAUGAGGAAAGUAUAUAAUAUUGGUCUGGUGGGGUAUAGAGGAUUGUUAUAGGGGGAACCGCUGUAGACCGUGGAAAUAUAGGGGGAGAGAGAUUGCUGACGUGGCACGUGAGUGGGAUAUAGGGGGACAAAUUUAGGGGAACCGCUGAAGACAGUCUUCUGUAGUGAAUUCUACGCCAGAUCCUGGAUCCAGCUGACCGGGGGCAGAGUCCUUUGUCAGGAUCAAAUGUUAUGUUCAGUUGCUCACUGAUUGGGAUGUUGUAAUUAUUACGUCAGAUCGCCUUUCCCCCAUAGAUUCAUGUUGAUUGGCGGCUACUUUUUUCAUUCCAAAGCAAAGAAUCAUUCAUUGUUUGAAAAACUGGCAACCUUUGCCUUGAUUCGCACUCAAAGCGAGAGUAAGUAGCUUUUCAGAUGAGCACAACCAUUUUGCAGCACCAAGAAGCACCAUUUUUUCCUUAAGAUUAACUUAGAAUAAAGCCUGACGGGGGUAACAGCAUCCAUCGAUCCGCAGUCCAUGCUGUUUGAUGCAUGGGUCUGCUGAAACCGAGGAUGAACACAGCACUAACAACUGACACAGAGCGACCUUGCAAUCAAAAACACAGAUGGGCAACAACAAACACGACACGAACGAAGAUAAACCCUCUGGACUAGGGUAAACAUCACGGUAGCGAACAGGAUAACUUGGCCGCGCGGGCCCCACCGCUCAGUUCCUCCAGUUCCCGUCGGAGUUGCCGUAGCCGCCGCCACGGUUGCCACCGCCGUAGCCGCCGCCACCACCACCGUAGCCGCCGCCGCCACCGUAGCCGCCGCCACCGCCGUAGCCGCCACCGCCAUCACGGCGCCCGCCACCGCCGUAGCCGCCGCCUCCACGGCCACCACCGUACCCACCGCCGCCGCCUCCACGGCCGCCGCGGGACUGGGCCUCGUUGACGGUGAUGUUGCGGCCGUCCAGCUCCUUGCCGUUCAUGCCCUCGAUGGCGUUCCGCAUCGCCUCCUCCGUGGAGAAGGUGACGAAGCCGAAGCCGCGGGACCUCUGCGUCUCCCGAUCGAGGAUGAUCUGCAGGGGAGAGGGGAAGGAGGGACAGAUCCGGGUGAGGGUGUGUCAGGACAGGUCAGAUCUGGACGAAGCCAUGGACGGAUCUGGGACGGGAACGGACCUUGGACUCGAGGACCUCGCCGUAGGUGCUGAAGGCGUUGUGGAGGGAGUGGUCGUCCGUGGCCCAGGCGAGGCCGCCGACGAAGCAGCGGUACUCAACAUCCGACGCCGCCAUCUCGAUCCGCUCACCCACGAACCCGAACCCCGGAGAACCUCACGAACCCGAACCCGAACCGGAGGGGGAGGAGAAGCCAACCCACCU